CUCUAGCCUUGUCGCCUAUGAUGCCUGACUGAUUUACAAAGUAGCAGCAUUGUUCUCCCAGCAAGAGACAGGUGCCCCCGCUUUCUGCUGUGAUUAUGUCCAGAGCACAACUGUUUUGAAGUACCAUGGCUGCUACUUGUCCCGUCCCGUGGGUUCUCCUCAGUUGUUUUCUUCUGGCUGCUGUGGUAUGUAAAUCCCACAUACUCUAUUCACCUGUUGAUGGACAUACAGAGAGAAUUCAUUGAUGAGAAAUUUCCUAUGGAUGAAGGGCGGGGUUGGAGGGUGCAGCCAACAUGAAGGGGCCUGGUGCCACCAUGGAGCAGGAGGGGACAUUCUCAGAUCAGCCCAGCAGAGGAGCAGAGAGGCCAGGAGGAGGAAGGGGCCACAGAGCCAGGACCAUGGGAUGAGUGUGGACAUUUAGGGAGGGGAAUAUGGUCUAGAGUGGAUGUCUGGGAAUCCAAUACUGUUUUUUAAGCUUUUAUUUUUAUUAGUCCAUGUUACCAUACAUAAUGAUUACA